rnacentral:rRNA from 1 species
UUUUGUGCCAGCAGUCGCGGUUAUACUUAUGAGAUGGAGAUUAACGAAUAUAUAUUCUGAUUGAAUUUUUGGAGGCAGAAAUUUUUUAAAAAUAGUUGUUAUAAAAGCUAAAUUUUAUCAGUCAAAUGAAAAAAGUAGCGAGUACUAUUAGUGACGAAAAUUAAAGUUUAAAAAUAAUAUUUGAGAGCUAGACGAGAGACCAGGAUUAGAUACCCUGUUACCCUAGCUGCAAAGUUUUUUUUGUCGGGGAGUAAAAGAGAGCUUCAAACCCAAAAGGUCUGGCAGUAUCUUUUCUUAUUAGGGGAACCUGUUUCUUAAUCUGAUACCACACAGCUUAUUACCUUUCCUAGACAGUAAAAAAUAGAUUUUACAUUAUCAGUUAAUAUAUCGUUGUCCCUUAUAGCCCCCUUGAGGGGGGCUAUUAGGAUUGAGCUUUUUAGCUUAAGUCAUUUUAACAAAUCGAGAUGUUGCCCAUGGAAAGGGGGUUGAUGGGUUACUAUUAUAAAUUUUUAAAGGCCUAGAAAUAUAAUUUUUUUUCUAGAAAAUUGGACUUAAUUGUAAGUUGUUUUAAAAAAGAACUACUGAAAAAGAUCAAAGAUGUGCACAUAUCGCCCGUCACUCUCGCUAAAAAAGGGGAGAUAAGUCGUAACAUAGUAGGGGGUAA